UGGUUUAAACGAGAAACUCCUCAGGGCGCACCAGUGCUGGGCGCGCCAGCGAGCGCCGCGCCCUCUGCACGCUUCAUCGUAAGCUAUUCCCGCCUGGCAGGCUCGCUGCCUCGCUCACGACACUAGGCAAACCUUUCUAGCCACGAUAGUUCUGCGUUCGUGUGUGUGUCGUCGUGCGAGUUUUGUUCAUACGGUCGACUUUUACCGCGCUGCCUCGCAUUGUGUGUUGUAUGUUGUGGUUACUGACGUAAGCGCAAGUUCGUCACGCAGUGUUAUACGCGGUAGCAGGUAAAUAGUCACCAGAUGCCGGCCGUGCGACUCCAAUCUGCGACUGCUUUGUUCAGUGUGACCGACGGAGGCGAUUCAUAGUUUUGAAGAACACGUUCUUCAAAUGUUUCCGCCCGUCAGUAGGGUGCCUUGAUGCGCGUUUUGUCCGCUCACAUCGAUGCACACUACACGGCAGUGAGUAGCAGCGCUGCAAUCCUUUCUCGACGACGCGUUCUGUGGCCCUGGAAAAUGCCUUGACGCUCGGGGACGGCCGGUAGCUCGGCGAUUCCUCGCUUUGCGCACCAUUGAAAACCGGCGGUCAUCCAGCAGUGUACGCUGCCAGCGUAUUUUCAUUAUUUCCAGAGGUAGCAAACAGCAGUGCUACGACAAACAGUGGAGUGCUGACCAUGCAGUCCAGAAGGUGGCCGAGGCAAGUAUGCUAUAGGAGGUGCUUAUUCAGGCAGAAGAAAUAAGCAUCUGCAGCCAACGUAAAGGAAGCAUCUUCAAAAAGCAGUGCUACAAGGAUGUGAGCAGCAGUUUCCCUUCAAUGAACGGGUCAAAUUCAUGGAAGCCACGUGCCUGCUGCUUCUGGCCUACACAAAUAUGCAGCCACCAUAGUAAAGUUCUUGCAAAGACAUUCUACUCAAACUUGCUCAAAGGCGGAAGGAAGGCACGCACAGAUGGACGCACAGAAAUCAUGGGGCUGCCGUAGAAGCUGUGAAUAAGCAUUAACCUGUGAACGUACAGAAAGGAGCGAAGUGGAGCUGUCCAUGGGCAGUGCACACAGUUUCAUAAGCAGGCUUGCAACACUUUUGACAAAUAUGUUCCUGAAUACAUCUGCCAAAGUGGCAUUUAAAGAAGCAUGUAGUAGUGUACU